rnacentral:rRNA from 1 species
GAUCGAAAGAUGAAAAGCACUUUGAAAAGAGGGUUAAAUAGUACGUGAAAUUGCUGAAAGGGAAGCGCUUAUGACCAGACUUGGGCCAGGUGAAUCAUCCGGCGUUCUCGCCGGUGCACUUUGCCUGCCCAGGCCAGCAUCAGUUCGCUUCGGGGGAUAAAGGCUUCGGGAAUGUAGCUCCUCCGGGAGUGUUAUAGACCGUUGCGUAAUACCCUGGGGCGGACUGAGGUACGCGUUCUGCAAGGAUGCUGGCGUAAUGGUCAUCAGUGAC